UCCGAGUUGUCCCCGGCAGUCCUCUUAGAGUCCCCGGCAUUACCCGCUGGCAACUAAGAGCAGGGGUUGCGCUCGUUGCGGCACUUAAGCCAACACCUCACGGCACGAGCUGACGACAGCCAUGCACCACCUGUGACCGCCCCCGAAGGACCCCGCAUCUCUGCGAGUUUUGCGGCCAUGUCAAACCCAGGUAAGGUUCUUCGCGUCGCAUCGAAUUAAACCACACGCUCCGCUGCUUGUGCGGGCCCCCGUCAAUUUCUUUGAGUUUUAACCUUGCGGCCGUACUCCCCAGGCGGAUAACUUAAUGCGUUAGCUGCGCCACCAAAACCCUAAGGGCCCUGACAGCUAGUUAUCAUCGUUUACGGGGUGGACUAC
rnacentral:misc_RNA from 1 species